rnacentral:rRNA from 1 species
UACGGGGGAUGCAAGCGUUACCCGGAAUCAUUGGGCGUAAAGCGCCUGUAGGUUGUUUAGUAAGUCUGUUGUUAAAGACCAGGGCUUAACCCUAGAAAAGCAAUGGAAACUGCUAGACUUGAGUAUGGCAGGGGUAGAGGGAAUUUCUAGUGUAGCGGUGAAAUGCGUAGAUAUUAGAAAGAACACCGGUGGCGAAAGCGCUCUACUGGACCAUUACUGACACUCAGAGGCGAAAGCUAGGGGAGCAAAAGGGAUUAGAUACCCCUGUAGUCCUAGCCGUAAACGAUGGAUACUAGAUGUUGUAUAUUUACAGUAUCGUAGCUAACGCGUUAAGUAUCCCGCCUGGGGAGUACGCUCGCAAGGGUG